rnacentral:rRNA from 1 species
AUUGAACGCUGGCGGCAUGCCUUACACAUGCAAGUCGAACGGUAACGGGUCUUCGGAUGCUGACGAGUGGCGAACGGGUGAGUAAUACAUCGGAACGUGCCCGAUCGUGGGGGAUAACGGAGCGAAAGCUUUUCUAAUACCGCAUACGAUCUACGGAUGAAAGCAGGGGACCGCAAGGCCUUGCGCGGACGGAGCGGCCGAUGGCAGAUUAGGUAGUUGGUGGGAUAAAAGCUUACCAAGCCGACGAUCUGUAGCUGGUCUGAGAGGACGACCAGCCACACUGGGACUGAGACACGGCCCAGACUCCUACGGGAGGCAGCAGCGGGGAAUUUUGGACAAUGGGCGCAAGCCUGAUCCAGCCAUGCCGCGUGCAGGAUGAAGGCCUUCGGGUUGUAAACUGCUUUUGUACGGAACGAAAAGACUUCUUCUAAUAAAGGGGGUCCAUGACGGUACCGUAAGAAUAAGCACCGGCUAACUACGUGCCAGCCGCCGCAGUAAUAC